CGAUCUGUCUUGGGGCGAGCUCUUAGGCGCCACGGCGCUGUAGUUAUUCGCCGAGUUGCUCGCGCUGGCGCUCGGGAUACUCACCGUGGUGCUCCCUGCGGACGACGAGGAGUAGUCUGACCUACGUACUCUUGUCGCCCUUGACAGGACCGGCACGCCUCUCCUCGAGUCCCAAACGAACAAGCUCUAGACUCCCUCGAGCAAUCAUUGUAUCUCUGUCUACAUGAUACACACCGUGAGGUUGCAGAAAACGAAGCAGUGAGAGCGGAUGGAUCCAUCAGUUAGAAGAUGCUUUCUUGAUAUGUUCCCUGUCAGUCAAAAUAGUCUAUCUGGAUUCUGGCUUCCAUGUUGUACUCAUUGAACUGAGAGCAGCUGAAACUAUCAGAAGGUAUAUUUUUAAGUCUCAGUAACUUGAUAUUCGGCCACAUGCCCGCAUGAGCGAAAACAAAAUGCCGUUUACUUGCUUGCAUUAUACACGGAUUGACUAAAUGUUGGUAAUUGUUCUUCAGCCACUUGGUCUCUCCUAUGUAAAAUUUUAUAAGAAUGGAUAUUGGAGUGUUAUUUAUGCAUGUCUUAUCAUACAGGUGGCAUAGCAAAACUGCUCAAUAACAAUGGUGUUCUUGCAGCUCUCCAUAGUCUUCCUGGUGCUGAUCCGCUCCACUGUGUUGAUGUGCCCAUCAGUACAGAAUCCAAGGCCUAUAUCCCCGCUGUUGUCGGUAGAGCUGCAACGACGUGCUCGCUCUGCUGCUGCUUCCGCCAACGCGUCUAGCAAGGGCAGGUGAGCAUUCGCCUCCUUCCCAUCUGGUGGGCUUCUUUUCUCUUCCACCCAAGGCCUCCACCCAAGGCUUCUUUUCUCAUACACCUGAUUCAAGGCGUGCUUGAAGUACAAGGCUGGGCGUGGCCGUCGUUGGUAAGGGUGAGGCUAGGCACUGAUACUAUCUUGGGGUGUGUCUUUGUAGUUAGUCUAGGUUUCACAUCAGCUAGGUGUAAGCUGAUUGCUUUCAUUAGUUAAAUGCAAGUUAAUUGAUUUCCCUGCGGUGCAGAUUCCGUUUGAUAGUUUCUUGGAACAAUACAAUAAUAUAAACUCCAAUGCUUAUAGUUGAAUGAUGCUUUAGUUUGGUUAUGAAACACCUCUAUUCUAUGCUUUCCUAUUGGUGUUUCUAUGGGGCUUCAGAUGUUUUGAGAUGUUUCGUUGUAGAUGCAGUAGAUGCACGUGUUUCCAUAAUAUAUGAAAAUUUAGAAGUGUCUACCUUGAAUAUGUUCUUCGGCGUUUCCAAGUUUAUAAUUUGUUCAUACGGCAUAGUUAUUGGCGAGGUAUACUAAUGUGAGUUUUAGUAAGCUGCAGGUAUAGAGAGGGACGAGGAGAUAGAGAGUGUAUCUUAACUGGACCUAAAGUCAGGAGU